AGGCUAGCCUCAAACGUACAGAGAUUAGCCUCCUGAGUGCUGGGAUUAAAGGACACACUGAAAGGAUGUCUCAAGACAGUCUGCUUGCAUUAAUUCUAUAAUCAGUUUGCAUUUUCCACAAAUGAAGAGAACUGAGGACCAGCGAUGAAGGUAUUAAGUCUUUCAGGGAGAAAUAAAAGUAGGUGUAUGUAUAAAGGCCAAGGAAGAGCUGACAUGACCCCAGUGGUGGCACGCAACAACCACGUGAUGGGAAAACAAAAGUUGCUGCUGGGAUCCAGGAUAAAGGAUUCUCCACUCUCAAAGCAGAAGGCAUACCUACAAAAGAGAAGAGGUCAUUGCAAUGUUUCACAGAACAGUCAGUGAUGGCCAGUGAGGUGGAAUCGACGGGAAACGUUCUCAGAGAGAAAACCACAGACUUUACAAGAGUCUCCCACCUACAACCAUCCCCUCCUCCUUCGAAACUACAAAUCUACAUAUCUACCCAGCAGGGAGACGCUCCACCUGUGAAGCCUUACACCUUUCCUGAUUUAAAUACUAAAGAAAAUUCUUAAGUUAGGACA